UCCGCCCUGAUCUCAUCCCAUUUCUUUGUCGUCCAAUCAGAGAGCAGGCUAAAAGCAAUAAAACACAGAUACCAAAAAGCUGUCCUCAUUAAUCUGCAGCAAAGAAAAGAAGAAGACCAAACAUCAAACCGUCAUGGCGUUACUAACCUUCAUACAGAGUUUGGAAAUCAACGAUCAUGAUCUGCAGAUGAAAUUCGGCAAAAAAAUUGUUGUCGUGUCAUUCGUUGACCCGACGAUGAAUUAUAAAAGUUACAGUUUACUAGAAAUUGUUUACCGUUUACUUAAAUCUGUUCGGAUCAAUGGGGAAAUGCUCGGCCGUGUUCUUUUAAAGAAGCUGCUCUCCUUGCUGUAUAGAGCCGGUCUGUGGCUAAAGAGGAAAUUUCACUGUUUCAUACCGAGAGAUAAACGGUAUCGCAGCCUACACCUUACUACGGAACUACGACAUCUCAUCGCAAAUACCUGCAACGGUGUAGCAGCUGUUCAACCCAUUACAAACGAGUUGAAGCGGCGUUACAAACGGGUUGAAGCGGCGUUGCAAACGAGUUGGAGCGGCGUUGCAAACGAGUUGGAGCGGCGUUGCAAACGACACAACUAAUCUAAACCGACCUGCUAUCCGGGAAAACACCAUGCCAAGAUAACGCUAACGGGUCCACGGCACAAGCGACGCUUUAAUUCUGGUUUAUUAAUUGUGUCUAAAUGUCAAAUAAACAAAAAAAUACUCAAUAAGUCACGUGUCGUUUGAUAUUUCUCUCAGUUGUUAACCCUGCUGUAAUGUGUACAUCCUAUGGUCAUUUCACAUGUAAAAUAGGUGCAUCACACUGCUUUUUUUGUUGAAGAACAGUUGCGUCUUUUCGUUUCACUUUUUUUCACUCAAGGCGUUCACGGCGCUCUGAAACUCAAAAGCAAAAUGCUUCACUCUCACUGAUAAUCAUAACAAAAAGUUGCCCCAGGCUGCUAAAACAAGCCCUGUCUGAACUUUAAACACGCCAUAACUGUGUUGGUGAGUUGGUGACUGUGUGAGCGGUGUGACGAUGGCUGUCUCCAGUGUCUUACAGGAAAUGUUUGGAUCCAAACGCAGAGGAGGACAUGAGAAGACAAAUGAAAAGGAUGCUGAUGAAGACUCUGUCGCAAGAUCUUGCUGUGCAAGGAGGAAAAUCUACAACAUCAAUACUAAUGGGUCAGAGGGCCCUGACAACAUCAGUGUGGUGGUAGAUGGUUCUACCAUUGUUAAGGUUAGACUGUUGGGGGACUUCCUACACUGAGCUCCUCUCUCUCUCUCUCUCUCUCUCUCUCUCUCUCUCUCUCUCUCUCUCUCCAUCUGUGUGCAUUCAUGUCCCAGUGAUGCUUGUUACUAACCUAUCUCCGGGGAGAUUGUUCCCCGGAGUCCUUAUGUUUUAUCUCCUCACAGAUUUCUCUGGAUUGGGGUGGCACCUUAACCGUUGUUGCCGCUGCCGUGGUCCUGCUCUACGCCCUGAAGUCUUAUUUCUGUAUCUCUCUCUCUCUCUCUCUCUCUCUCUCUCUCUCUCUCCCACCAACCGGCAGCGUCAGAUGGCCGCCCCCCCCAAAGAGUCUGGUUCUGUCUGAGGUUUCUGCCUGUUGAAAGGAAGUUUUUUCUCACCACUGUUGCUCUUGGGGGGAAUUGUUGGGUCUCUGUCAAUCACAGAGUGUGGUCUAGACCUACUCUAUCUGUAAAGGGUCCGUCUGUGAUUUGACAAAUAAAACU